rnacentral:rRNA from 1 species
UACGUAGGGUCCAAGCGUUAUCCGGAAUUACUGGGCGUAAAGAGUUGCGUAGGUGGCAUGGAAAGCGGAUAGUGAAAGCGUGUGGCUCAACCAUACAUCCAUUAUCUGAACUCCCAAGCUAGAAGAUGAGAGAGGUAGAUGGAAUUCCUGAUGUAGGGGUAAUAUCCGUAGAUAUCAGGAGGAACACCGAUGGCGUAGGCAGUCUACUGGCUCAUUCUUGACACUAAGGCACGAAAGCGUGGGGAGCAAACGGG